rnacentral:tRNA from 1 species
GGGGUCGUAGCUCAAUUGGUAGAGCGCCCGCUUUGCACACUGUGCUGUGCGCCUAGAAUUUGCGGGAGGUAGGGGGAUCGAAGCCCUCCGAUUCCA